UACGUAGGGUGCAAGCGUUAAUCGGAAUUACUGGGCGUAAAGCGUGCGCAGGCGGUUAUAUAAGUAAGUUGUGAAAUCCCCGGGCUCAACCUUGGAACUGCAUCUGUGACUGUAUAGCUAGAGUACGGUAGAGGGGGGUGGAAUUCCGCGUGUAGCAGUGAAAUGCGUAGAGAUGCGGAGGAACACCGAUGGCGAAGGCAGCCCCCUGGGCCAAUACUGACGCUCAGGCACGAAAGCGUGGGGAGCAAACAGG
rnacentral:rRNA from 1 species